UUAAACAGCAGAAAAUGGUCAAGAAAUCGUUGAGAUCUGUCCAUCAAUUUCUAAGAAUAAGAACAUGGGUUUUAUCUCUUUUUCUAUAUUUCAAUUUCUUUACAGAGGUGAUAGAAAGGCAAAAUAUUUCAUGACAUUUAAGUUAAAAGGAUACAACAGAAGAAAGAAAGAAGGGAAAAUGCUUAUACAGCCAGAGGGUAUGCUAUCUAUGAGAAGAAAAUAAUGGCUGAAACAAUAAACAACCAGCUAAAAGCUCCUGAGAAACUUCCAGGGUCCUGUUCUGGUCCCUAUCCUCCAAAAGCCCGCAGACGCACGGAGACUCAUAUAUAUGGUCAGAGCAAUCCAGAUACCAAUGAACUUAUAGCUGGAGGAGAGAAAAAUUAAACAUAGGAUGCUAAUAAUGGCCACCAGAACCUGGAUAAGAAGAAUGUCAAGCUAAUUUUUCUGAGAAUUUAAUAAACAUGAGAUGCUAAAGUAAGCAACCAGAAGUUAUACUUUAUGUUUCAAUCAUCAAGCAAAGAGAAAAGAAGGAAAGUUGAUUCUUGAACACAUAAUUUCAAUCCAAAUCCAAAAACCCUGUCAGAUUUUUUUUUUUCUUAAAUCAUUGGCCCUAAAAAAGUUAAUCCUCAGUUGAAAAAAUCUUCCAGUUCAUAUUUAUUUCGCCAUAAAGAAGCCAACCUUUAGCAGGAUACAUUUCCACUCUAUUUAACCAAGACCCAUCAUUCCAGUGGUUCUGUCUAUUAUUCAAAGAAUGAUUUCGAGAAUGCUAAAAACAGUCACAAUUCCAUAUUAAUUGUAGAAGUCCAGGACACUUGCCAUGGAGUAGGCAGAGUACGCAAAAUCAGAAGCUCCAAAGUUGACACCGUCAAAUACAAAUGCCAAGGCGUUGAGGGGUUGAGUACCUGCAACAAACUGAUAUUAAAGGAAAAGAAGCUUCAGUUCUAGUGUUAUUUGGGAUUUUGAGCAGAUUGAAAGGAUUAAAUGUUCCAUUUAUAUUUUCAGACAGGGGAGAUACCGGGAUGCCUAUACUAAUCAUGUGAAGAACAUUGACAUCACUUGUGAAUAAUCUUGCUCCAAAACUCAAUCCUAGUCCAAGUAUGAGAGCCAGCGACAAUCCUAGAAGCAAUCCCAACUGCAAUAUUCGAGAUGCAGUGGCCGUCACCUUGUCAUAGUCCCUUUUGGCAAAGGCACUUGCAAGUAUUGCCUGGCCAGCAACAGCCAAUCCAUCAGCGAGAAGAGAUGUGGUCAGCCAAACUUGCAAGCAGACCUGAAAUGCAGCCAUGGAUGUUGAUCCUUGUCGUGCAGCUAAUGAUGCAGAAAGAGUAACACAGAAUGUGACAGCUAUGACCCUCAUUAGUAAUAGAAAACCAUUUUUAAGAAAUUUACCAAAUUGCAGAUGUCUGACACUAGGAGGUACGAGAUCAACUUGUUCCAUUAGUCUCCACAAGAGUAUAAUUGAAAUCAGAUAUUGGGAUAUAACAUGGGCAAUGGCUGCACCACUAACUCCCAGACGGAAAACAAACAUGAGUAGGGGGUCUAAAAUUAUAUUUGUUACAUCUCCAGCCACUAGAGAUUAGAUAAAAUGAGCGCAAGCAUUAGAAUGAUGUGAAAUAAUCAAAUGGUUGAAAGAGCCAAAACAUUUCUAGUAUGUUGAAACACAUCAUUCAAAUCCCAUAAGGCAUACCAGUGGCAUAUAAAGGAGUCUUUGUAUCUUUCAAUCCACGGAAGACCCCUUGCAUGGCCAAGGAAAGGAGAACUGCAGGGGCGCCAAGUGACCUCAAUGUCAAAUAUUGCUGUGCAGGGCUUAGCAUGGGUGAAUCAGGACCAACUCCCAUGAAGUUCAACAAUGGUUUUGCUCUAGAUAUGAGGAAUAUAGCUUGGAUGAAGCCAAGGAUGGCGCCAAUAACUACUGCAGAUGAGGCUGAGGGGAUAUGCCUUCUUUCAUUCUCAAUCUUAACAAUAUCAAAGCUGCUAAUAAGUGAUUUUUCACUUUGUGGUAUCAACUCUUUAC
rnacentral:misc_RNA from 1 species